rnacentral:rRNA from 1 species
GUAACACUGGUGCUUGUGGAGGGGGUAGCACAGAGUGGGGAAUGGUUAAUGGGAGUUACUUGGCGUUAAGCGGUCGUAGGCGGGUCAUUAAGUCGGUGGUGAAAUCCCUGGGCUUAACCUGGGAACUGCAGUGGAGACUGGUGAACUAGAGUGCGGUAGAGGGUGGCGGAACUCCGGGUGUAGCGGUGAAAUGCGUAGAUAUCCGGAAGAACACCGAUGGCGAAGGCAACCACCUGGGCCUGCACUGACGCUGAGGUACGAAAGCGUGGGGAGCAAACAGGAUUAGAUACCCCAGUAGUC